rnacentral:rRNA from 1 species
CCUACGGGGGGCAGCAGUGGGGAAUAUUGCACAAUGGGCGCAAGCCUGAUGCAGCGACGCCGCGUGAGGGAUGACGGCCUUCGGGUUGUAAACCUCUUUCAGCAGGGACGAAGCGCAAGUGACGGUACCUGCAGAAGAAGCACCGGCUAACUACGUGCCAGCAGCCGCGGUAAUACGUAGGGUGCGAGCGUUGUCCGGAAUUACUGGGCGUAAAGAGCUCGUAGGCGGUUUGUCACGUCGUCUGUGAAAUCCUAGGGCUUAACCCUGGACGUGCAGGCGAUACGGGCAGACUUGAGUACUGCAGGGGAGACUGGAAUUCCUGGUGUAGCGGUGGAAUGCGCAGAUAUCAGGAGGAACACCGGUGGCGAAGGCGGGUCUCUGGGCAGUAACUGACGCUGAGGAGCGAAAGCGUGGGUAGCGAACAGGAUUAGAUACCCCGG